UGUGCACCAGUGUCACUUCUGUCCCGUCAUUAAGGUAGGUGCUUUCACCACUGGGUGUGCUCAGGUGGCCUCUGUACGGUGUCUACAGUUGAAGUCUCGGGUGUGUGUCGGGUGGAGAGCAAGCUCUACGAUGGAGGCUCUCUUUCUUCGCUUGGUACUAGCAACACUUGUUCUGCUGAAUGCAUCAGAUUCGGCUCUUCAAGAAAUGGAUGAAGUGAAGGAGGAAAGUGAUGAAGUCAGCCGGCAUUGCGAGAACACCGUGAGCGAGUUUCAGUGCGAGAGCAACUCGGGUUACACCCUCGAGGUGGACGUUAACAAGCUCAACGAGCGUAGCAAAACCAGUCUGCGCUGAUUCUUUCGCUGGACAUCAACCACCUCCACAACUGGCCAUCGAAUAAUGAUGAAGAUAAUGGUUACUUUUAUAGCGCCCCAUCCCAGCCCUAUGAGCAGGCUCAAGGCGCUUUGCAAAUGAUAUUAAUUAUAACAAUAAUAAUAAUUGGUAACCUAUGGAAAAAUUUACAAAAACAAAAUUACAGGAAGGGAAUGUAGAUAACGCGUGUGAAGGGUAAUAAUAAUGUUGUGUAGUGCUGUCUUAUUUUUAAAAUACUGAACGAUUACAGUAUACCUUAUCCAGCAAGGAUAUAAAAUUAAAAUAAAUGCAAAAAAAUAUGGGGAAAAAAUCCUUGAGACAGAAGAAAACUAAGGACAGAUUUGUCUGAGCAGCCUGCUGACACAUUUCAGUGUCGAAUAGUUUUAGUGUGAGUCUGCAACUGCUUGUCAUGGAAGAAGUCUUUUGAAAGAAGGGACAAGAAUGCUGGAGAUAAACCUCCUCGGGUCACACAAGCUGUACACAGUUUUGUUUUGUUUUUUGUUUUUUGUUUUUUUGCCUCGAGCGAUGAAGAAGUUCAUCCACCCUGCACAUGUUUUAUCGAGCUGUCCACCUGCACAAACAACAAAGUGGACUGAGAUGAGCAUGGCGUCCUGGAGGAAAGGACUGUUAGUCGACGCAUCAGCUGAACCUGUAGAAGGGAAACAAAAUGUCACAACCGGGCACUCGACUGAUAUUUGUGAUGGUGUUUACUGUGCACUUGCUGUGACUUGGUGUGGCUUUGAAAGGAAUCUGCAUCGUUCACAGGACACGCCCUGUCAGCAAACUGACUGCCAACUAAAGACCAAGUACUUGCCUUUUAUGAACAUUAAUUUUGUGCUGACUGCUUUGGUAACCAACCAGGUCACCUGGAGCGAUGUGUCCUGUGACAAGUCCCACCUUUGUCGACAAACGAAAUGCAUUAGUGUGAAAGUCAUUGUCAUGGUCUUCAACGAAGUCAGGACUGCGUGCAUGAAUUUUGCUACUCAAAUAAUUUCUUUUGUAUGAUAAGAAUCCAUG
rnacentral:lncRNA from 1 species